rnacentral:sRNA from 1 species
UUCUACCAAUAAAUCUCAAUUUUUGUGUCAGGUUGAAGAGGUUGACUCUUCCCGAUAGAGGAAGACCAGUCCUUGGUCAAGGGUAUAGGAGUAGCUGCACUCCCUACUAGAACCUCUAAAGAAGCUCUCAAUUUUUUGUCUCAAUUCUUUAGAAAACU